AAGAACCCACCCAGCUCUACCAUUACUGUGAUAUCUGAGGCUGGAGAAAAUAAUGAAACUGUCCAGACUAUCCUCAAGUUUACAGACAGUGAGAAAUACCCAAAUGAAGCUCCUUUUUAUGAAACAUUCUUGGAAAAUCUAGAAGAUAAUGUCUCAGACAUUUAAAAAUUCUUAGCAUUACAAGCUGAAGAAAUCUUGGCAUGGUGAUGAUCUUUAGUGACAGCUGUGCAAGAAAAAUUAAAUGAAAUGGAUAAAAAGCAAAAGGGAGGAAGACAUAUAUCUAGAAUAUAAAAAGAACUCUUUCAAAUCAAUAAUAAAAAGUCAAUCCAAUUAAAAUUUGGGCAAGAAACAAAAAGAAGCAGAAGAAACCAUAGAGCAAUUAUUCCAUGGCAUUCCUGUUUACAAUUAAGCAUUUCUUAAGUUGAGAAGCCGUGUUUGAUACUGAACUCUUGGAAAUCAAAAAGAACCAAAUCAAAGAAUAAACAGGAAAAAAUAAGUGGGAAGCAGCUACUUGAAACAGAUCCAAAUCUUGACACAUCUGAUAUCCAGUUCUUGGAGGAUGCUGGAAACAACGGAGGUAAUUGAGUCUUUGUACCAGUAAAUGGAUGACCUGGAGCUGGGGGAUGAGGAGGAUGAUCCAGACUCCAAUCCUGCUGACCCAGAGAGUGACUCCACUGACCA
rnacentral:lncRNA from 1 species